rnacentral:rRNA from 1 species
CAAGGCGAUGAUGGUUAGGGGUCCUGAGAGGGUAGUCCCCCACACUGGUACUGAGACACGGACCAGACUCCUACGGGAGGCAGCAGUGAGGAAUAUUGGUCAAUGGGCGCUAGCCUGAACCAGCCAUGCCGCGUGCAGGAAGACGGCCCUACGGGUUGUAAACUGCUUUUCUGCAGGAAGAAUAUAUAGUCUUAGGGGUAUAUUGACGGUACUGCAGGAAUAAGCAUCGGCUAACUCCGUGCCAGCAGCCGCGGUAAUACGGAGGAUGCAAGCGUUAUCCGGAUUCAUUGGGUUUAAAGGGUGCGCAGGCUGUAAAGCAAGUCAGUGGUGAAAGCCCUGGGCUUAACUCAGGGAUUGCCAUUGAAACUGUUUUACUAGAGUGUAGUAGAGGACGGCGGAAUGAGUUGUGUAGCGGUGAAAUGCAUAGAUAUAACUCAGAACACCUAUUGCGUAGGCAGCUGUCUAUACUACAACUGACGCUGAGGCACGAAAGCGUGGGGAGCGAACAGGAUUAGAUACCCUGGUAGUCCACGCUGUAAACGAUGAUCACUCGUUGUUGGCUACUUAGUAGUCAGUGACCAAGGGAAACCGAUAAGUGAUCCACCUGGGGAGUACGUCGGCAACGAUGAAACUCAAAGGAAUUGACGGGGGCCCGCACAAGCGGAGGAACAUGUGGUUUAAUUCGAUGAUACGCGAGGAACCUUACCUGGGCUUAAAUGCUGGCUGCAUUGGAGGGAAACCUUCAUUUCCUACGGGACCGCCAGCAAGGUGCUGCAUGGUUGUCGUCAGCUCGUGCCGUGAGGUGUCGGGUUAAGUCCCAUAACGAGCGCAACCCCUAUCGCUAGUUGCCAGCAUGUAAUGGUGGGGACUCUAGCGAGACUGCCGGUGUAAACCGGAGGAAGGUGGGGAUGACGUCAAAUCAGCACGGCCCUUACGUCCAGGGCUACACACGUGUUACAAUGGCCGGUACAAAGAGCAGCCACCUGGCGACAGGGCGCUAAUCUCUAAAACCGGUCUCAGUUCGGAUCGAAGUCUGCAAUUCGACUUCGUGAAGGUGGAUUCGCUAGUAAUCGCGCAUCAGCCAUGGCGCGGUGAAUAAGUUCCCGGGCCUUGUACACACCGCCCGUCAAGCCAUGGAAGUCGGGGGUACCUGAAGUCCGUAACCGA